rnacentral:rRNA from 1 species
CCUACGGGAGGCAGCAGUGGGGAAUAUUGGACAAUGGGCGCAAGCCUGAUGCAGCAACGCCGCGUGAGGGAAGAAGGCCUUCGGGUUGUAAAGUUCUGUUCUCAGGGACGAAGAAAGUGACGGUACCGGAGGAAUAAGCCACGGCUAACUACGUGCCAGCAGCCGCGGUAAUACGUAGGGUGCAAGCGUUAGCCGGUUUUAGUGGGUGUAAAGGGCGGGGAGGCGGGAGUGCAAGUCAGAUGUGAAAACGCAGGGCUCAACCCUGGGGCUGCAUUUGAAACUGGGUUUCUUGAGUGCUGGAGAGGCGAUCGGAAUUCCGUGUGUAGCGGUGAAAUGCGUAGAGAUAAGGAGGAACACCAGUGGCGAAGGCGGAUCGCUGGACAGUAACUGACGCUGAGGCGCGAAAGCGUGGGGAGCAAACAGGAUUAGAUACCCGUGUAGUC